CGAGUGGCGGACGGGUGAGGAAUACAUCGGAAUCUACUCUGUCGUGGGGGAUAACGUAGGGAAACUUACGCUAAUAACCCAUACGACCUACGGGUGAAAGCAGGGGAUCUUCGGACCUUGCGCGAUUGAAUGAGCCGAUGUCGGAUUAGCUAGUUGGCGGGGUAAAGGCCCACCAAGGCGACGAUCCGUAGCUGGUCUGAGAGGAUGAUCAGCCACACUGGAACUGAGACACGGUCCAGACUCCUACGGGAGGCAGCAGGC
rnacentral:rRNA from 1 species